UUGCUCCAACUCAUCGAAUCUCAGCAAACCUCCUUUGCCUUUGGUAACAACUUAAAGGCUCAGAAAGAAAUUGAAGAUCGAAUGAAAGCCUUUAGUUUUGAGGAAAAAACUUCAUUAUUGAUCUCUGAGUUACAGGUUAUGGGAGAGGAUAUCGUUCCAGAAAAAGUCAAAGAUGAAGGUCACGCUGAAGUGAAAUGUGUAGGCUCUACAGCUCCGGAUGCCUUAGUAAUUUGCAUCCCUAAAAGAAUUUGAAGACAGGUGGUUCAGAAAGAUCAAAGAGCACAUCAGGGCUCUUGAAUGUAUGGGCCACUAAUAGAUAGACAUUUCAACCUAGUGCCCAAUUUUUAAAAUUCUUGCUUCUGUUUGGCUUUUUUUUUUGGCAUUUACUUCAGACAAGAGUUGUGGUUAAUAAGAGAUGUAGUGAAUUAAACUGGUUCUUUGUGACAUUUA